rnacentral:lncRNA from 1 species
AAGGAGUAGGAGGGAGGAGGAUUGAAUCCCCAUUUUCCAGUUGAUGAGGCUGAUAAGGAUGAUGAUCGCGAUGAUCCCAGGCGAGAGGCAGGGAUUUCUUUCCCUGUAGAUCUGCCAUGGGAAACUUUUGCAGACUCUCUUGAGUAGCCGAGGGGGAGAGGGGGACAAGUGCGGAAUUCCCCAGGGAACACCGGUUGAGGCUGGAGCUUCCAAUCCUGAGAUUUUCCUGAGCAAUUCCAACCGUACAAGGAAAUGCUAGAUCUGGUGCUCUCGCUCAGCCUGAUUGUGAACAGCGAUUGUCCGGAUUGACCGCCACUCAACCUUGGUGACAUUGAUGCUGGAUUGUUCCAGAUGAUAUAAAAGGUAGGUGGCCAGGCCUCUCUGUGGCUCGUGAAGUUUAGGCCUUCGAUCCA